rnacentral:rRNA from 1 species
AACGUAGGUGGCAAGCGUUAUCCGGAAUUACUGGGCGUAAAGGGUGUGCAGGCGGGAGUGCAAGUGGUGUAUGAAAACGUCCGGCUCAACCGGGCGCUGGUAUGCCAGACUGCAGUUCUAGAGGACGAGAGAGGGGGGUGGAAUUCCGGGUGUAGUGGUGAAAUGCGUAGAGAUCCGGAGGAACCCCAGAGGCGAAGGCGGCCCCCUGGCUCGUACCUGACGCUCAGCCACGAAAGCAUGGGGAGCGAACGGG